GUUCUGCGAUCCUCUCGCUAACGUCCGUCUCCCCGACGGAAUGGUAAGUUCCGUGAGGUUGGGGACCAUGUCUCAGUCUGUGCCCCUUGAGAUGAACUUACUGCUGCCAUCUGACAGAUGUGUAAACGGGCACAGAGAGGGAAAUCAUCUGCCCAAGCUCACAGGGCUUGAAGGAGGCGGAGCUCCCGUGCGAACCCGCACCUGACUCAAUUCUGUUGUGCACUUAAGGACCGGGAAGGCGUUGCAGGGUAACAAAAGCUCAGGGCCCGGCCCGCUCAUAACCAAGAACUCAAACGCUAGAGCUCACAAAAACGCGGCGAGGCAGGUGCUGCUUCAGCCGCCCCUGGUUGAGAAGCCCAGGUGCGGAGAGACUGAGGCCACGCAUCCGGCCAAGGGGCAGUCGGGUCCGACCCCGCCGGUCUGGUUCCAGGACCAGCACACUGCGGAGUGGCGAACGUGGCAACGAGGCCGUGAACGAGGAUUUUGGGAGCUGGUUCACCGUGACAGCCCCCCGUCACCGAGGAGCCGUUCCGCACGGAGUCUCCUUGGCAAGUGAUUGCCAAGGACUGGAUUGGAGGAGUCACGAGACGGAGGUUUAGCAGCUGCCUGAUGAAACCGAAUCGGAAAAAAUAAGCAAAAACCAAGACCCACCUGCGUGGCUAUAAGGCCAUCCCCAAAACCACCACUGGAAGCACGAGCGAAUACCUUGCUUGAUGAUGGGAGGCCUGUGGAUGCCAUCCAUCACAAAGGAGAACAUCUUCCCGCUGGCGCUCAUGGGCCGCUUGUGACAGGCAGGAGGGACCAUGGUGGGCCUGGGAAGCCCCUGGGACCAGCUCCUCUGCACUGGUGCUGGCCGGAUCCCCAGGGGGAAGGGCAUCUGCAGAGGUGGGGGGGACUGUUGCGACUUCUGUGUGGCCGCAGGUGGCUGUGGUCUUGGCCAAGGUACCGGGCCACUCAUCCAUGGGGAGGAGACCUGCAGGGGCAGAGAAGAGAGUCGGAGGAGGGUCCGAUCAGCUGGGGUGGUCUCCACCUUUGUCCCAGCCAUAUAAUUGCUGCCCUAGGGCUCAGCUUCUAAGUCACUUCCCCAAGGAAGCCCCCUCCGUCCCCCGCCAGACCAUCCCCAAGUUUGGGAUGGCAGGCCCCACCGUGGGUCACAUUGCACCAUCACACCACCAGUUCCUGGGGACAGCCUUCAUGCGGCCGAGAGGGUCACAGGCAUCACCCUGUUCGAUACACCCAACACUCUGUCACGAGACUGAGGCUGAGCGAGACCUUGUGACUUUCCAAGAUCCUAGAUUUGCUGGUGAGCCUCUGAGCUGGCAGAACGUCACCUCCAAGAGGAUAAGGGCUUUCUGUCUAUCUUGCUCACCCUGUGUCCCCAGCAACUAGAAUAAUGCCCGGCACAUACAGAGCAGGCCCUCCAAUACUGGUUGAAAGAAUGAAUGAACGAAUCCCUGAGAUUCACACCGGGCUCUUCAGGACCCCCAGCCUGCUCUCCUUUCAUCCACACUCUGCAUCUGUUGGGCACUUCUAAUGCCAUCUGCCCCUCUGAAGCCAAGAGCUCUGGGACAGCAGGGACCUCGCCUGUCUCGUUAACCUUUGAUCCUCAACAUGUACCACACCCGACUCUUGGGAAAUGCCCCAUAAACGUCUACUGAGGGAUUGUUUCAUCAUCUGACCCUUGGAAGAGGCCUGCGCCUACUUUAUAUGGGAAGCACACCCAACCCCGUCUAAUCGUGGACAGACACGUGCUGAGGGAUGCUGACACCUGGCUUCUGCCUGGGUUUAACGCUUCAGUGGUGGUUUCUCCCUGGGCCUGGUGGUUCAACCGUAACAUUGGGGUGUGCUAUCAUUUAUUGUUCCUUCCUUAUCUAUUUCUCAUGAUAGUCCUGCCGAGCAGAACUCCUAUAUUACAAAAAGACUCCUAUAUUACAAACGAGGCAUGGUGAGGUUAAUGAAUUUACCCAGGCUCAGGUAGUGGUGGGGAGGGAAUUGGGAAUGAGGUCUGAUGACCCCUGUCUCUGUCUCACCUCCCCCACUCCAAUUCUCUUGGCGGAAAAAAAACACACUGAGUUCAAAGGUUUGCCACUAUGUAGGGCCACACAUCUAUUCCCCCCUGCCUGGGGCUCAUGUGUCUCCUGUAGACGGGAGAGAAUAUGAACUCAGAGACACACAGUGAGAGAGAGACACUUCCAAAUACGAGCACCUACUCAUAGAACUUCCUACAGCUUCAGUUAGAUUUAAGAGGAAGAUUCUCCAUUCAUUCAGGCUCUAGACUUUCCCCAGCAAGUCAAAGAUCCUGUGCGUUCUCUCUGAAGACUCUGUCUUGGAGUCCGUGAGGACAGCGUUCAGGGAAAUCAAGCUCCGAGCUCCAACUGCCUGGGGACAUCUGGCCCAUCAUUCAUAAUGACACUGGCCCACUUUAAACCUGCUUCAGGAACAGACUUGGCAGUGUUCCAGGGCUCUGUUUCUUCCACGCACUUUUCCAAUUUCUCUCCAGUGUCAACAUCUCAGCCUCUCCACCUGUGUUUUCUUCCUUUCGUUAUUCCCCAGGGCCAGGGUGUCCCGCUCCUGCCCUGCACUAAGUUCCCCAUCCAUCCUGUCUCCUCCCCACCUCGGAGGGUCUGUCUUGCCUCAAUUAUUCCUAUAACAUUUUCCCACCAGUUAAAUAAAUAUUCACUGGCCCAUGGGCCAAAGGUGAGAAGGGGUAAAUUCUAACGUGCUUUACCCCAGCCUGCUAGAAAACAAAUCUGGAGGUUGCCGGGAGGCGUGGAAGAACUCCCCUUUUGUGCUGGGAUCCUCAGGUCAUACGCUCACCGCUAACUAAUGGCAAGGGUGCCAUCGGGAGUGAGCCCGUCCGGCACGUCCAAUACCAUCCACUUCCCGAGGGGGCAGCCCAGACCCCACUCAGGUCUUUUGGAGCGUCUGGGGAAUCCCCCGCCCAAUCGCUGAGCAACUUGUGGGUGGGGCUAAGCACUCAGCCAAUCACAUUCCCCGGCCUCAGUGAUUGGUUGGGCCGUGAGGCGUGUGAUCCAAUCAGAGCCAAAGGGACCCAGGGAGCCCGUGGCGGGACACCAGGGUCUGGAGUGGUCUGCGGACUUGACAAUGUAGCCUGCCUGAGGGAGCGGGGCCGAGGCCUGGAGAGCUAGAAGCCGCUGUUGCUUUAAUCGUGGUAAAUCACACGUAACGCCACAUUUGCAUCUUAACCAUUUUUAAGCGUACAGGUCGGGAGUGCCAAGGACACUCACGUUGCCGGGAGAGACAUCUUCAGAAGGUUUCCAUCUUACAGAACGGAAACUCUGUCCCCAUUAAACACCACCACCCCCUUCCCCCUCCCCCAGCCCCUGGCACCCACCAUUCCGCUUUCUGUCUCUGUGAAUUUGACUCCUCUAGGGACCUCAGGCAAGUGGGAACUGUACCGCCUUUGUCUUUGGGCGACUGGCUGAUUUCACCGAGCAUUGUGUCCUCAAGGUUCACGCGCGUUGUAGCAGGUGUCAGAAUUCACAUUUUGUGUAGCCAUUUGGGGGCACUUGGGUUCCCAUCGUCGCUGGCUACAGUGAUGAUGGCUGCUGUGAACGUGGAGUUGCACGUGGGGAGCUGGCUUUGAGCCCUGGCUGGGGCGGUACCCUGAGCUGCUCAGCCCCGGUGAGGCCGCCUAGAGCUGGUUUCUGUCACUUGCAGCCCAGAGCCCUAAUGAUAGGGUCCCUAAGGGGGAAGGAGCCAGGGACAUACACAUGCACGAAAGGCUCCAUUUGGCUUUUCGGAUUCAAAAAUAAAAUUAAAAAUAAAACUA